GAGGGUAUAGCUUGGUGGAGUGCAUGCUUCACAAGCACGAGGUAUUGGGUUCAAGCCCCAGUACCUCCU
rnacentral:tRNA from 1 species